GUGGGGAAUAUUGCACAAUGGGCGCAAGCCUGAUGCAGCCAUGCCGCGUGUGUGAAGAAGGCCUUAGGGUUGUAAAGCACUUUCAGCGAGGAGGAAGGGCAAUGUGUUAAUAGCACAUUGCAUUGACGUUACUCGCAGAAGAAGCACCGGCUAACUCCGUGCCAGCAGCCGCGGUAAUACGGAGGGUGCAAGCGUUAAUCGGAAUUACUGGGCGUAAAGCGCACGCAGGCGGUUUGUUAAGUCAGAUGUGAAAUCCCCGCGCUUAACGUGGGAACUGCAUUUGAAACUGGCAAGCUAGAGUCUUGUAGAGGGGGGUAGAAUUCCAGGUGUAGCGGUGAAAUGCGUAGAGAUCUGGAGGAAUACCGGUGGCGAAGGCGGCCCCCUGGACAAAGACUGACGCUCAGGUGCGAAAGCGUGGGGAGCAAACAGGAUUAGAUACCCUUGUAGUCC
rnacentral:rRNA from 1 species